UACGGGGGGGGCAAGCGUUGUUCGGAAUUACUGGGCGUAAAGGGCGCGUAGGCGGCCUGCUAAGUCGGAUGUGAAAUCCCUCGGCUCAACCGAGGAACUGCAUCCGAUACUGGCGGGCUUGAAUCCGGGAGAGGGAUGUGGAAUUCCAGGUGUAGCGGUGAAAUGCGUAGAGAUGUGGAGGAACACCAGUGGCGAAGGCGACUUUCUGGCCUAUAACUGACGCUGAGGCGCGAAAGCGUGGGGAGCGAACAGG
rnacentral:rRNA from 1 species